UGACAGGUGGUGCAUGGUGUCGUCAGCUCGUGUCGUGAGAUGUUGGGUUAAGUCCCGCAACGAGCGCAACCCUCGACCUUAGUUGCCAGCAUUCAGUUGGGCACUCUAAGGUGACUGCCGGCUAAAAGUCGGAGGAAGUGGGGAUGACGUCAAAUCAUCAUGCCCCUUAUGACCUGGGCUACACACGUGCUACAAUGGGCGGUACAAAGGGUCGCGAACCCGCGAGGGGGAGCCAAUCCCAAAAAGCCGCUCUCAGUUCGGAUUGCAGGCUGCAACUCGCCUGCAUGAAGCCGGAAUCGCUAGUAAUCGCAGGUCAGCAUACUGCGGUGAAUACGUUCCCGGGCCUU
rnacentral:rRNA from 1 species